UUGGAGGGCAAGUCUGGUGCCAGCAGUCGCGGUAAUUCCAGUUCCAAUAGCGUAUAUUAAAGUUGUUGCAGUUAAAAAGCUCGUAGUUGAAUUUCGAGACCGGUUUACUGGUCGUGCUUUUGUACGUACUGGUAUAAUCGGUUUCUCUUUUCUGACGAACUAUAAUGCCGUUAAUUUGGUGUUAUAGGGAAUCAGGACUGUUACUUUGAAAAAAUUAGAGUGUUUAAAGCAGGCUCACGCUUGAAUACAUUAGCAUGGAAUAACGGAAUAGGACGUUUGAUUCUAUUUUGUUGGUUUCUAGGAUCGACGUAAUGAUUAAUAGGGAUAGUUGGGGGCAUUAGUAUUCAAUUGUCAGAGGUGAAAUUCUUGGAUUUAUUGAAGACUAACUACUGCGAAAGCAUUUGCCAAGGAUGUUUUCAUUAAUCAAGAACGAAAGUUAGGGGAUCGAAGACGAUCAGAUACCGUCGUAGUCUUAACCAUAAACUAUGCCGACUAGGGAUCGGAUGAUGUUAAUUUUUUAAUGACUCAUUCGGCGCCUUACGGGAAAC
rnacentral:rRNA from 1 species